GUCCAAAUUAUGGAUAAAUCGAAAAUUGUGACAUAAAAUGUCAGAAUUAUGAGAAAAAAAAGUCUUUUUUUUUGUUUAGAUUGCCUAUUUUUCAUAUUUUUUCUUCUUUAAGUGCAGAAACAUCCUUCCAUAAUAUCAGUAUUUUAAUAACCAAGAGGAAAAAAAAUCUUUGAAAUCUUUGGAAAAUCUCUGAAAUACUUUUCUUUUCAGCAGAUGGGGGCGGGUCUAGCGGUUUGAUUGACAACAACUUGCAGGUAAAGCGAAGUUAAACGGUUUACUUGGAGCCUGAACGUCGAACAGGACAGUGUUUUCUUACUGGUGCUGAAGAACAAGGACUUUAUCGUUUCUACCAAGCAAACUGGCUUCUGAAGGCGUUCCCUUCUGCCCUUUUCUCCGCUGUCGAGGAGAGUUCAACAAGGCUGCCUGUGAAAUAUCAAAACUACAAAUCAGUUCUCCUCAGAGCACACAGAGGCUUCACUACGGAUAAAGCUGCCUCAGGGUCCAGGUGGGUGUCCAGCAGGGGGACGGUGAACUGUAUCUUCCUGGGGCUCCCGGUUUCCAUGGUGACUCUGUCUGUCAAAGAGGCAACCAAAACGAAGAAAAAGAAGAAGAGGGGGAGGAAGAAGGGAUGAUCCAAGUAAGGAGAAUCCGAAUGAGAAAAGGAGGCAGAGAAAGAAGAAGAGUGUGCUCCAGUUAAGCACCUGCCUGUGUCUCCACCCCGGCUUCACUCCUCUCCCUUUCUGUCUCUGCCGGCUCUCAGCACUCAGACAAGGGCAUUCUGGGCAAAGGAACACCUCUACUUCGCUCUCAUUGGCUCCGCUUGGCUCCCCUUCACAUUACUUCUUGCCGAAUCUCUGGGGAACAGCCAUGCUCCAGAUCUGACCCGGGGCAGCUUCCCAGUCACGGGACUGAACCUGAUCCUCUGAUGUGACCUGCCCUCUGGAGCCACGGCCAAAUCUGUGAAGGAGGAGACACAGAGGAAGGAAAUAAUGUCAUUCCCCAGCAGAUGGUCGACCACGCUCUCCUCUGAGCUCGGCAGGACGUCGUUGUUGUCCACGCUGCCUUGGAUGUGAAAAGCUUUAUUGACUCCAGCCAACGCCAGAACCAGAGCCAGAAGAGUCGCCACCGCUGCUGUGUCCAUGGUCUCAGAGUGGAAAGGAAGUCAGAUGGAUACUGAGAAAGAUUCUGGAUGUCCGGUUUAAGACUCCUGGAGACUAGAGUACUUUCAGGAAUCCAUACUCUAUGAAUUUGAGUGGGCUCUGUACCUGUGCAGCUGCAUCCUUCAGGACCAGGUGUUUGAUGCUGGACUUGACAGUGAUGUUUGCUCUGACCAGCAGCUCCAGAGCGCUGACUGAUGAAAAGUCCUGGCAGACAGAGAGAGAGAAACGAUGGAGCCACAUGAGGGGGUCAACGUGUCAGUGCACAUUUCUGUCUACAUACUGACUUUUAUCUAUUAUUGUCUGUUGUUUGUAAAUGUAUGUGUGGUCUGGACAGACUACAAACACUGAAUUGCUCUCAGAGAUAAAUGAAUUCGUCUGAAUCUGAAUACAUGUCCUUUUUUGAUGCGUCUAAACUUUUCAAAUUUUCAAUACAAGACUGUAUGGUUUAAUCAUGUGGUAUUAACAAUAUCAAUAUCAGUCAUUUUUGGGAGAUAUUUCCCUCUUUAAAUCAGUCCAUUUAUUAAUAGCUAAUGUAGAAUUCAUUCUGAGACCUUCUGUAUCAAAGUUUUAGCUGACAAAACGUGACAAUAGAA